AUCACGUGAGCAUGAUGUUUGAACAUAAUUCACAACUGAAUUCACAAAGCAGUAACAGGUAACUGCGCAGCAGACUUUCAGAUCAGUUCAUUACAUUUUUCAGUCGAAAGUGCAUUACAGGAGCCCAGAGAUGAUCAAAAAUUGAGAGCAGAAGAAAUUUGAGGCUGACCAGGAUCCUGAAGUGAGGAGCAGUCCCUUUCCCAUUUAACAGCAUUCAUGAGCAGAAAAUGGGGAAGCAGAAAUGCUGAGACAGUUCAGAAGAAACAUCACCAGAAGCCACAGCAACAGCAAAGGAAGCUUAUAUGGAAGUAUUUUUGAUUUUCUCCCUUCUUUCCCCUACCCCCUGGCCCCUGCUGACUCUAACAUAACUAACCAUCCCCUUCCCUUUCCCCCUCAUUCGUCUUCCUGAAUUCACUGUCAUUGUUUUCUGAUUUUUCAAUGAAUUGUGUUGUACUGAUUUUAUUCACUUGAAUUUUUGUGAUUUGUUGCAUUCUUUUGAAGUUUUACUAACAUUGUGCCAGUUUUAUACUUUCAGGGACUCGGUAGAGGAACAACGAUGGAGGAGCAAGGCCAACCAACAGAGGAAGACGAGAUGACGAGUCCAUUUCCCAUCUCUAUACAGCAGCCAACAUGGCCCAAAGUGGUAAGUAACUUUUCGUGAUUUGUUGCAUUCUUUUGAAGUUUUACUAACAUUGUGCCAGUUUUAUACUUUCAGGGACUCGGAAGAGGAACAACGAUGGAGGAGCAAGGUCGACCAACAGAGGAAGACGAGAUGACGAGUCCAUUUCCCAUCUCUAUACAGCAGCCAACAUGGCCCAAAGUGGUAAGUAACUUUUCGUGAUUUGUUGCAUUCUUUUGAAGUUUUACUAACAUUGUGCCAGUUUUAUACUUUCAGGGACUCGGAAGAGGAACAACGAUGGAGGAGCAGGGUCGACCAACAGAGGAAGACGAGAUGACGAGUCCAUUUCCCAUCUCUAUACAGCAGCCAACAUGGCCCAAAGUGGUAAGUAACUUUUUGUGAUUUGUUGCAUUCUUUUGAAGUUUUACUAACAUUGUGCCAGUUUUAUACUUUCAGGGACUCGGAAGAGGAAC